CCCUUAGAUGUCCUGGGCCGCACGCGCGUUACACUGAUGCAUUCAACGAGCUUAUAACCUUGGCCGAGAGGCCUGGGCAAUCUUGUUAACGUGCAUCGUGAUAGGGAUAGAUUAUUGAAAUUAUUAAUCUUGAACGAGGAAUUCCUAGUAAACGCAGAUCAUCAAUCUGCAUUGAUUACGUCCCUGCCCUUUGUACACACCGCCCGUCGCACCUACCGAUUGGAUGGUCCGGUGAAGCCUCGGGAUUGUGGUUCUUGCCGCUUUAUUGUGGCGUGACCGCGAGAACUUGUCUAAACCUUAUCAUCUAGAGGAAGGUGAAGACGUAACA
rnacentral:rRNA from 1 species